rnacentral:lncRNA from 1 species
UAUUUGCUAGAUCUAUAUAUUUAGAGAGAGAGAGAGAGAGAGAGAUAGGCUCUUGUGCUUUCGAAAGUAUGAAAGGCCUCUGUAUUUAUAAGUCAUUUUUUAUGAUAGGACAUUCGGUUCGGCGAUCGAUUUCGUUAGACAUUCGGUUAGGCUAUUGGAACUAUCCAGAAACCAAAUUUCAUAGUUUUUACUUCAUUUAUCUAGUGAACGAUCAAAUAGUUUCAAAAUGAACAGCUGAAAAUAAAAAUCUCAUAAAAAAUAGUAAUAAAAGACUCAAAUUUCAAAUUAGAAGUAUUGAUCUUACUAAUUGAUGUUAAUUAAAUAGAAUUUUUUAUUAAAGUUUCAUGUAAUUUAAUUUUUUCUACACCGUUGAACUGAAAAACAUGCUAUAUCGACCGUUAAAAUAGUCAUUUUUGACACCUUUUAAUCACUUAAUAAAUGAUGUCGAAAAAUUAUGAAAUUUGAUUUUUAAAUAGUUUCAAUAACGUAGAUUAUGUUUAACGAACCCGAUUAUCGAAUCAGAUGCCCUAUUAUCGAAAAUAACUUAUAAGUACGGAGACCUUCAUAUUUAUAUAUAUAUUACGAGCUAUUUUACUCAAGCUUUUGAGUUUGGAAU